UUGUGGCUGAAUGGUGGGAGUUAAGCUUUUCCUUCAGCCUAGUUCCUUGCUUCCUCUCCACCUUCCUGUUGUGCUGUUCCCAAGGACACUCUCCCAUCGCCCACUCCCUGAAACUCUCAGAAUCUAUUUGUUUCCCAGGGAGCCCACUUUUGUACUCAUUGUGAUCUGGCGGUCUUGUCCCCUCUGUCUUGUCCUGGGUUUUUCUCUAAUUACAAGGUUCUCACUUACUGGACUGGCUCCAGACUCUCUGAGGAUGCUGCUGUGAUUCUGUGCCUGCCACUUUUUACCCAGGACCUGUUCCCACCACCUGCCUGUGUACUUUUCUCCAGCCUCUCCUGCCUGGACCAUGCAACUCUAGAAUGAGUCCUCAUCCUGCGGGGAACCUGCGCGGAGGCCAGAAGAGGAAUCAUGAGCUUGCUGAGGGAGAAGGUACAGAGGCUUGGAGCUCUGCAAAUGCAAGGCCAGGUGUUCCAGGUCACCAGGUGUCCCAGGGCGAGGCAGUCUUUGCAGCUCUUCUUCCCUCCGCCCCACUGGGGUUCAGCCCUCCAGCUCUGCGUUCUCUCCCCUGUUGCAGAAAGUGCUCGAAGAGCUGGGCGCACAUCAGCUUGAGUCUCCCACAGCCUGGCCAGCUCUCCUCCUGGAAGCAGACUCUGGCCCUGACUAACGCAAAGGCAAGGUGCUCGGCUGCCUCAGUUUCCCUGUGUUAAUAACGGAAGGAGUAAGUAUUUCUCUGCCAACCUCCUGGGAAGAUCCAGCAAGAGUAAAGCACGAGACUGGCUUACAAUGAUUGCAAAAGCUCCCUUUGCAUCUGGUCUCUUUCAGCUCUCGUGUCAGGGGAGAGAUUACUGAUCUCAUCUUUCAGCCAGAGGUUAGCAGCACAGAAAAAGUCCAUGACUAUGACAGUUUCCCUAGGACUCUAGUGAGGAUGAUCCUCACAUCUCUUUUCCAGGCUUCUCCUCAGCCGGAGGAAAUCUCAGGAUGACAGCAAGAAUGUCCCCUCCCACGGGCCAUUCCCUUCUGUCUUAAUGCAGUCUGGCUAAGAGACCAAGAUUAAAUCGUGGCUCCUCCGCUGAGCUGGGAGAUGGUCCCCCGCCCUGUGCUUUCUCCCCAGCUCCCCUCCUUAGGGGUAAGGGAGGGAAUGCAGACUUAGGGUGACCCGUAGCAAGGAAGGAGAACGGGCACCUAGAGAUGCCUGCAUGAGCAGAGGAUUGAAGCCCAAAGAGAAAGGGGUCUGGCUCGUGAUCUAUAAGACACUGAGUCUGGUACAGUCGCAAGGGCAGGUCUCAGUCCCCAAGUCUCAGUCGGCUGUUGUCACAUCAGAGCAGAAGGGAGAUGAGCCUCCUGUCCGCUCACUCUGAGAAAUUACUUAUGAGGGGUCACGUUCCUCCCAAGGCCAUCCAAGGAAGGGGAAAGACAAGAGGAGAAAGACGAAGAAAGAGGAAGGGAGAAGAGGCAACCAUAGACCUGGCGCUUGACACUAAAGGCUUAACAUCAAAUGCAGGCAGAAAUCAUUUCCACAGUUUUAUUGGCCAUUCCGGACGCUUCAUUUCAAAGGGAAAGAUUUGAAUUCACAGACAUCACGUUGGCUUUGUUCUCUUGCCCUCCAGCCUUUGGUGCCAGUGUGGACUGUACUACCGGGAGAGGCUGAGAUCAAACCCCCUCUCCACUUCGCUCCUUGCCCCAGAGCUGGCCCUUGGCGUGCUUAAUGAAAUCAGCUUUGCUAUAGAUUGACAAUGCCCUGUCAAUUAUAAUCAUUUAUCUUGGCAAGCAGAGCAUUUGAACACUUGAAAGAGCAGGGGAUUCAGCCGGCUCGGCACAACCAGAAUAAAAUUAUACUGCACGGUAA